rnacentral:rRNA from 1 species
AUUGGACGCUGGCGGCAGGCCUAACACAUGCAAGUCGAGCGGUGCGCCGGACGGGUGAGUAAUGCCUAUGUAUCUGCCUGGUAGUGGGGGAUAACGUCCGGAAACGGGCGCUAAUCCCGAAUAGUCUCAGAUGAGCCUAGGUGGGAUUAGCUAGUUGGUGGGGUACAGGCGUACCAAGGCGACGAGCCGUAACUGGUCUGAGAGGAUGAUCAGCCACACUGGAACUGAGACACGCGCCUGCUUCCUACGGGAGGGAGCAGUGGGGAAUAUUGGACAAUGGCCGAAACCCUGAUCCAGCCACGCCGCGUGUGUGAAGAAGGUCUUCGUGUUGUAAAUCGCUUUAAGUUGGGAGGCGUGCCCAACAGAAUAAGCACCGGCUAACUUCGUGCCAGCAGCCGCGGUAAUAC